GUAACAGAAGCAAAUAAGGUGAGAUGGUUGAAAUUCAUACGGUGCAUAUUAUCACCUCAGACUUUUCUAUGACUAAGUUGGACGUUAGACCAACAGAUAUUUAAUCCGAAAAUGGUUCUUUUGGCCUGUUAAAAUAUAAUUGACUCAGGGAUGUGAAAAACUUAUUAAAAUAUAGAGGAUUGGCAACUUCAGUUACAAUUGUUGAUGUCGGAAAUGGAACUACUACAUCUUUUUGGUAUGAUAUAUCAAUCGGUUCAACUGGGUCACGAGGCAGUAUAGACUUGGGUAUUCGUCUUCAUUCAUCGGCAGAGACGGUCCUAGACAUGCAUUG
rnacentral:lncRNA from 1 species